UGUUAUAAAAAGAAUAAAUAAUUUUUUAAAAGAAGUCAUAUAAUUAAAAACGAAGGAAAAGGAUAUAUCAAUGUUGUGAAGGCUUUAUUGUAGCAUAAGGCAAUAUUUUUCUCAAGAAAAAUAUCUUCUGAUUUAUUGGAGGCCCCUCACAGUCACUAUCCUCAGGAAUUGCUCACUUCCUGCUUAGUAAGUUGCAAAUUUUUACCCUUUUCCUCUCUCACAACUCUGGUUGCAAUGGAAAAAUGUCCCAAUCAAGAAACGGUUGGUAAUGCGGCAAUGCUUUCAGGUGCGAAAGAACUACACAAGUUUAAGCCGGCCACUGAGUACUUGUUUUAACGGAUGGGUGAAUGGAUGUAUUAUAUUAUAUAUGACGGUGUCUAGGUGCGAAAGUAAAACUACUUUCGCAUCCUACGAAUGUUUCAAAAAAAGCAAUGUCUGAUUCUUAUCCGUCGGAUAUGAAAAUUAAAAUUUUUAAUGGUUGGGAUGCGUCAAGGGUUAUCGUUGGGAUUUGUUGAGGGUAAGGUAACGGGGUUGUAAUGAGGAAGAACGCUCCAGUUUUCCCUUUCGCGGAAAGUAGAACCUUGCAUACCCUAGCAGAGGUGGCGAUUUUGCGAUUGAAGCAGAGUUGUGUCUUUGUUCAACACUAUUGAGUAGAGCAUUGGCUUGGUCGCGGUAAAACGAUCAAAGCUGAACGUUGUGUUCGUUGAGCAAGAUUGAAAGGGAAGACGAAAGAAAACCGAGGUUAGGGGAACUUCGAGGCCAAAUCCGCAACUAACAUUGAGGGUUUCGUCAAACCUCGAGAAGGGUAAGGCUUAGUCGUGAACAAACUGCAGUUUGAAUGUCGGGUUUGGCUUACCGCCGUGUUUGGGUUUUUACGUUUGUUUUACCUUGUUCGGUGUUGGUUGGUGAUUGGUGAUGCAAAUGGCAAGCGCGUCAGGCUUAAGGCAGCUGUGAGGAGUCAUGUAAAAUCUGGUCAUCACUUCGAGGAAGUCCGUAUUUGGUGAAGGUAUUUCCACUCUUUUAUCGGUUUUUAUUGUUAGUGUUGCAGUUUGUUCAAUUGUCCCUGUUAGUUAUUUUUUCGUUGUUAUAUUGAUGUUUUGAUUGAAAGCGGUGGGCACCUUCCACUCUGAGGCACUGCAACACCAAAGUGAUGGAGGAUUAAACAUUGCACACAAAAUCAAGAAUAGUGGUGCAUCAAGACAAGUGAAUGAGGAAUCCGUUUUUUAAAAUACAGAGAAGUAGGGCCUUAACAAAACUUCGACUAAAGCCCACAUAUGGCAUUAGCCUUAGAAUUUAGGAUAUUUACCUAAAAUCUGCAAAGCAAAGAAAGUUGAAGUUUACCUAAAAUUUGCCUCAUGGUCUCUUUAUGAACAAAUUUUUGAGGUAUGUUUUUUAUAUAUUUCUUUUGGCUGAAUGCUAGUUCUACAUUUCCAAGUAUGCCUCUUUCCUACGCUACAGGCUUUAAUAUUCAUUAGUCAGAAAUAAACCGCACUACAAAACCGAGGUCUACUCUUUCACCAAGCAUACUGAUACAAGGAUAGGAUAUGUACAACCAUCAGAUGCAGUUUCGACAUCGCCAGCCGCAGCUACUUUUUCAUUUGUAAACAAAGUCUAUCGUAUUGUUUUUAUCUAACAGAUUCAAAUUAUGUCGAGAUUAGUGUUUGAUUACACAAAACCAAGAAUAAUCAAGGCACCAGGCAAGAGGUGAGGGGCGUAGGUAUUUUCGAUGAGGUUUACAAGUCCAAAAGUCUACCAUCUUUGUAUCAAAAAAACAAUACUUCUAAAAAAGCAAUCACUAAACCAGGAAUUUUUUAAUAUUUCAAUUCGACGGACAUAAUUCAUUCGUUGUUUUUUUUA